AUUUGGUUUAAUCUCAUUUGCUAUAGCUCCACGCAUUAUUGUACCAAGUACCAAAAUUUAAAUCAGAUAACCUACUUCUUAUUUUAUAUAUAAUUUUCGAAGCAAAAAGUUUCAAACCAGGGCCCGAAUCGCGGCAGUCGUGAGCGAGCAAGUAAUCGUAUCGAAUGAAAUUUCGUAAAGUGUCGAGUGUGCGGAUCGUCGCACUCGAUACGAAACGAAUAGAAAUUUUAUGAAAUAACUUCCCUGGUGUAGCUCUAAAUGACAUUUUCGAAUAACGAAACAAAACAAAAGAAAGAAAUAUUUGAAUUGGAAUUGAAUGCAAAAAAAAUGAACCCUAACGUGUUUUUUUAUUCAAGUUCAUCUGAAUCAGAUGAAGAACAUCAGCAAAUGGCCAUAAGGUCCAGGAUCCGUGACAAAAGUAAUCCCCUGGCUUUACCUAAAGCAGCAUUCAGGAAGCGGUUUAGACUGACCAAAGACGCAUUUACAUUCAUCUUAUCGGAAAUAGAAUUUAACGGACAUUUGUCAACCGCAGUACCACCAAUUCUUCAAUUAGCAGCGACUUUGUCCCUUUUGGCGAGUGGAGGCUAUCAACACUCAGUUGGAAACGACUUUUUAUAGGGUGAUUUUUUAAGAGCUUGAUAACUUUUUUUUAAAAAAAGACGCAUAAAAAAUCUCAUCGGUUCUUUAUUUGAAACGUUAGAUUGGUUCAUGACAUUUACUUUUUGAAGAUAAUUUCAUUUAAAUGUUGACCGCGGCUGCGUUUUAGGUGGUCCAUUCGGAAAGUCCAAUUUUGGGCAACUUUUUCGAGCAUUUCGGCCGGAAUAGCCCGAAUUUCUUCGGAAAUGUUGUCUUCCAAAGCUGGAAUAGUUGCUGGCUUAUUUCUGUAGACUUUAGACUUGACGUAGCCCCACAAAAAAUAGUCUAAAGGCGUUAAAUCGCAUGAUCUUGGUGGCCAACUUACGGGUCCAUUUCUUGAGAUGAAUUGUUGUCCGAAGUUUUCCCUCAAAAUGGCCAUAGAAUCGCGAGCUGUGUGGCAUGUAGCGCCAUCUUGUUGAAACCACAUGUCAACCAAGUUCAGUUCUUCCAUUUUUGGCAACAAAAAGUUUGUUAGCAUCGAACGAUAGCGAUCGCCAUUCAGCGUAACGUUGCGUCCAACAGCAUCUUUGAAAAAAUACGGUCCAAUGAUUCCACCAGCGUACAAACCACACCAAACAGUGCAUUUUUCGGGAUGCAUGGGCAGUUCUUGAACGGCUUCUGGUUGCUCUUCACCCCAAAUGCGGCAAUUUUGCUUAUUUACGUAGCCAUUCAACCAGAAAUGAGCCUCAUCGCUGAACAAAAUUUGUCGAUAAAAAAGCGGAUUUUCACAUUUCGAACCGAACACUGAUUUUGGUAAUAAAAUUCAAUGAUUUGCAAGCGUUGCUCGUUAGUAAGUCUAUUCAUGAUGAAAUGUCAAAGCAUACUGAGCAUCUUUCUCUUUGACACCAUGUCUGAAAUCCCACGUGAUCUGUCAAAUACUAAUGCAUGAAAAUCCUAACCUCAA